AUUGAACGCUGGCGGCAGGCCUAACACAUGCAAGUCGAGCGGAUGAGUGGAGCUUGCUCCAUGAUUCAGCGGCGGACGGGUGAGUAAUGCCUAGGAAUCUGCCUGGUAGUGGGGGACAACGUUUCGAAAGGAACGCUAAUACCGCAUACGUCCUACGGGAGAAAGCAGGGGACCUUCGGGCCUUGCGCUAUCAGAUGAGCCUAGGUCGGAUUAGCUAGUAGGUGAGGUAAUGGCUCACCUAGGCGACGAUCCGUAACUGGUCUGAGAGGAUGAUCAGUCACACUGGAACUGAGACACGGUCCAGACUCCUACGGGAGGCAGCAGUGGGGAAUAUUGGACAAUGGGCGAAAGCCUGAUCCAGCCAUGCCGCGUGUGUGAAGAAGGUCUUCGGAUUGUAAAGCACUUUAAGUUGGGAGGAAGGGCAGUAAGUUAAUACCUUGCUGUUUUGACGUUACCAACAGAAU
rnacentral:rRNA from 1 species